AUUGAACGCUGGCGGCAGGCCUAACACAUGCAAGUCGGACGGUAGCACAGAGGAGCUUGCUCUUCGGGUGACGAGUGGCGGACGGGUGAGUAAUGUCUGGGGAUCUGCCCGAUAGAGGGGGAUAACCACUGGAAACGGUGGCUAAUACCGCAUAACGUCGCAAGACCAAAGAGGGGGACCUUCGGGCCUCUCACUAUCGGAUGAACCCAGAUGGGAUUAGCUAGUAGGCGGGGUAACGGCCCACCUAGGCGACGAUCCCUAGCUGGUCUGAGAGGAUGACCAGCCACACUGGAACUGCGACACGGUCCAGACUCCGACGGGAGGCAGCAGUGGGGAAUAUUGCACAAUGGGCGCAAGCCUGAUGCAGCCAUGCCGCGUGUAUGAAGAAGGCCUUCGGGUUGUAAAGUACUUUCAGCGGGGAGGAAGGCGAUGUGGUUAAUAACCGCGUCGAUUGACGUUACCCGCAGAAGAAGCACCGGCUAACUCCGUGCCAGCCGCCGCGGUAA
rnacentral:rRNA from 1 species